CCUACGGGAGGCAGCAGUGGGGAAUAUUGGACAAUGGGGGGAACCCUGAUCCAGCGACGCCGCGUGAGUGAAGAAGUAUUUCGGUAUGUAAAGCUCUAUCAGCAGGGAAGAAAGAAAUGACGGUACCUGACUACGAAGCCCCGGCUAACUACGUGCCAGCAGCCGCGGUAAUACGUAGGGGGCAAGCGUUAUCCGGAUUUACUGGGUGUAAAGGGAGCGUAGACGGCGAUGCAAGUCUGAAGUGAAAGGCGGGGGCCCAACCCCCGGACUGCUUUGGAAACUGUAUGGCUGGAGUGCAGGAGAGGUAAGUGGAAUUCCGAGUGUAGCGGUGAAAUGCGUAGAUAUUAGGAGGAACACCAGUGGCGAAGGCGGCUUACUGGACUGUAACUGACGUUGAGGCUCGAAAGCGUGGGGAGCAAACAGGAUUAGAUACCCUGGUAGUC
rnacentral:rRNA from 1 species